AUCUCAGUCUCUGGCAAAUCCAAUGGCUGUGGCAUCUUCAGCAUCUUGUUCCUUUCAUUCAAGGAUAUCCAAGGCCGUGGGAUUUAGCAAGCCGCACAGAGAUUCCAGAGAAUGUCAGCUGCAGACAAAACGCCUUGACCAGAAGAAGGGGGGAGCAGCAAAUUUUUGGCAGUUCUUGUUCUUCCCCCACCCUCCUUCCCUGAUCCUUGAUGUCCAUGAGAGAUUUUUGUUUUGUUUUGUAACACUGAAGAUGGAUUAUUUUCCCACCAUUAUUGGAAUAUGGGGUGGAGUUUUUCGAGGGUCAGGUUUCGUUCUGGAAACCAAUGAAGUGUGAAUAAUCAGAACUUGAGAUUUUUCCCACUCUUCCACACAGCUUGAGUGUCUUGCUUAGGCAGGAUUUACCAGUGCAAUGAAGAUCAGCAUUUCGCAGGCCAGGUCCAAACCAGUAAUCCACACUUUAUGGACUGUCAACCUGGAAAGAGCAACAUUCAAGUGCCAAGGAUGACUGUUGGAGUUCUCAGUGCAAAGCGGUCUGUGAGCAGAUUAAUUGUAACAAUUACUACAAUAAAGCAUAUGAAGAAUCUUGA